rnacentral:misc_RNA from 1 species
AACGCAAAUUGCACUCUCGGGUAUCCCCGGGAGUACGCUUCUUUCAGUAUCGGUUCUAUCAAAACUCGCCUGCGUUUUGAACUCUCGGGUUCGGAACACGGAGCGGAAAUUGAGUGUCACACUUUUCGAGAGUGUGUUACUUGAAAGGUAGAAACGGUGUUGUUCCGUCGUUCUCUCGAACGAGCUCGCUUUGGUCUUCCUUCUCUCGCUUGCGAGAGGAGGCUGGAGCAAUCUGAGUGACGUGGUUAAGUUCGCCUCUGUGCGACACCACCAUCGUCAACUAACUCAGAGUGCGCUGGUGUGGCCUUCCUGAGUAAUGGAGCAAAACUUGAUCCGUUCUUUGGAUUAAAACCCAAUUUACAAAAUCAGAUCUGAAAUGAAGUGAGAGGACCCGCUGAACUUAA